rnacentral:rRNA from 1 species
UACAGAGGGGGCAAGCGUUGUUCGGAAUUACUGGGCGUAAAGGGCGCGUAGGCGGCCCUCUAAGUCGAACGUGAAAUCCCCGGGCUCAACCCGGGAACUGCGUCCGAUACUGGAAGGCUUGAAUCCGGGAGAGGGAUGUGGAAUUCCAGGUGUAGCGGUGAAAUGCGUAGAUAUCUGGAGGAACACCGGUGGCGAAGGCGACAUCCUGGACCGGUAUUGACGCUGAGGCGCGAAAGCCAGGGGAGCAAACGGG